rfam:Pestalotiopsis fici W106-1 unplaced genomic scaffold PFICI_Scf_3, whole genome shotgun sequence.
ACAUACGACCAUAGACACUAGAAAACUCGGCAUCCCGUCCGCUCUGCCCUAGAUAAACUAGCGAUCGCCGGAUUAGUACUCAGGUGGGUGACCACUGGGGAAUACCUGGUGUUGUAUGUU